GAGUUUGAUCGUGGCUCAGGAUGAACGCUGGCGGCGUGCUUAACACAUGCAAGUCGAACGAUGAUCCCAGCUUGCUGGGGGAUUAGUGGCGAACGGGUGAGUAACACGUGAGUAACCUGCCCUUGACUCUGGGAUAAGCCUGGGAAACUGGGUCUAAUACCGGAUAUGACCUUCCAUCGCAUGGUGGUUGGUGGAAAGCUUUUGUGGUUUUGGAUGGACUCGCGGCCUAUCAGCUUGUUGGUGAGGUAAUGGCUUACCAAGGCGACGACGGGUAGCCGGCCUGAGAGGGUGACCGGCCACACUGGGACUGAGACACGGCCCAGACUCCUACGGGAGGCAGCAGUGGGGAAUAUUGCACAAUGGGCGCAAGCCUGAUGCAGCGACGCCGCGUGAGGGAUGACGGCCUCGGUUGGUUAACCGUACUUUCCUAGUAGGUAAGGAAGACCGCGAACGGUAGGACGGUACCGUACGUC
rnacentral:rRNA from 1 species